AGUCGAACGGCAGCAGACCGUGACAAUCCCUUCGGGGUGCGUUUGGUGCUGGCGAGUGGCGGACGGGUGAGUAACACGUAGGAAUCUGCCCAACAGUGGGGGACAACCCGAGGAAACUCGGGCUAACACCGCAUACGCCCUACGGGGGAAAGCGGGGGACUUUCGGGCCUCGCGCUGAUGGAUGAGCCUGCGUCGGAUUAGCUUGUUGGUGAGGUAACGGCUCACCAAGGCGACGAUCCGUAGCUGGUCUGAGAGGAUGAUCAGCCACACUGGGACUGAGACACGGCCCAGACUCCUACGGGAGGCAGCAGUGGGGAAUAUUGCACAAUGGGCGAAAGCCUGAUGCAGCCAUACCGCGUGAGUGAAGAAGGCCUUAGGGUUGUAAAGCCCUUUCAGUUGGGAAGAAAAGAUCAGGGAUAAUACCCCUGGUUCUUGACGGUACCUACAGAAGAAGCACCGGCUAACUCAGUGCCAGCAGCCGCGGUAAUACUGAGGGUGCAAGCGUUAAUCGGAAUUACUGGGCUUAAAGAGCUCGUAGGUGGUUAGAAAAGUUGGUGGUGAAAUCCCAAGGCUUAACCUUGGAACUGCCACCAAAACUUUUUGACUAGAGUAUGAUAGAGGAAAGUGGAAUUUCUAGUGUAGAGGUGAAAUUCGUAGAUAUUAGAAAGAACACCAAUUGCGAAGGCAACUUUCUGGGUCAUUACUGACGCUGAGGAGCGAAAGCAUGGGUAGCGAAGAGGAUUAGAUACCCUCGUAGUCCAUGCUGUAAACGAUGUGUGCUAGACGUUGGAAAUUUAGUUUUCAGUGUCGCAGCAAAAGCGUUAAGCACACCGCCUGGGGAGUACGACCGCAAGGUUAAAACUCAAAUGAAUUGACGGGGACCCGCACAAGUAGUGAGCAUGUGUUUAAUUCGAAGAUACGCGCAGACCUUACCACACUUGACAUGUCGUCGCGACUCUAGAGAUUGAGUUUCGGUUCGGCGGACGAAACACAGUGCUGCAUGCUGUCGUCAGCUCGUGUCGUGAGAUGUGGGAUUAAGUCCCGCAACGAGCGCCACCCCUUACUUUUUAGUUGCUACCAUUUAGUUUGGGCACUCUUAAAAAAACUGCCACGUGAAUAGCCUGGAGAAAGAGUGGGAAGAAAAACCCAGGUCCUUCUGCGCGCUAUAUGGUGUUGGGGGCUUACAACACCGGGCGUCAAAUGGUGGCUUCCACCCGGGGAGAGGCCAAGGGGGGGGACUUCAUAUUUAUAUUACUCUCUCCUAAAAAGU
rnacentral:rRNA from 1 species